GUAGGUGGCAAGCGUUGUCCGGAAUUAUUGGGCGUAAAGCGCGCGCAGGCGGUUCUUUAAGUCUGAUGUGAAAGCCCACGGCUCAACCGUGGAGGGUCAUUGGAAACUGGAGAACUUGAGUACAGAAGAGGAAAGCGGAAUUCCACCUGUAGCGGUGAAAUGCGUAGAGAUGUGGAGGAACACCAGUGGCGAAGGCGGCUUCCUGGUCUGUAACUGACGCUGAGGCGCGAAAGCGUGGGGAGCAAACAGGAUUAGAUACCCUGGUAGUCCACGCCGUAAACGAUGAGUGCUAAGUGUUAGGGGGUUUCCGCCCCCCUUAGUGCUGCAGCUAACGCAUUAAGCACUCCGCCUGGGAGUACGGCCGCAAGGCUG
rnacentral:rRNA from 1 species